rnacentral:lncRNA from 1 species
GAAUUAGACUACUAUACUAUUAAUAGCAUUAAGCGCUUGUUGCUAUUAUAUUUUUGGCCUUUGGGUGAAGAAAUGUAUGGUUAGGAUGAUAGUGAUCCUUUAAAGUUGAGUGGAUGGUUGGUUGAAUAAUAUGAUGUAACAGAUGGAAAUAGUUAAAAGGGUAAAUCUAACGGUGAAAAACUCCAUAUAUAGUACCAAAUGCUUGGUACAAUUGAUAAUAUAGUAGCCAGACUCUAUAUAUCUAUACUAUAUAUUAAAGUUAAUAGGAUUUCUUACCAUGAAUCAAAAAGGAAUUAAAAAAAUUUUCUACAAAUGGUUUUGAUCAAUUUGUUAAAAAAUUUAUCAAACAAGAAUGAACAUUAUGAUCAAUCUGUUAAAAAAUAGUAUUC